rnacentral:rRNA from 1 species
CCUACGGGAGGCAGCAGUGGGGAAUAUUGGGCAAUGGGCGCAAGCCUGACCUAGCAACGCCGCGUGAAGGAAGAAGGCUUUCGGGUUGUAAACUUCUUUUCUCAGGGACGAAGAAAGUGACGGUACCUGGGGAAUAAGCCACGGCCAACUACGUGCCAGCAGCCGCGGGAAUACGGAGGUGGCAAGCGUUAUACGGAUUUAUUGGGUGUAAAGGGCGUGUAGGCGGGAGCGCAAGUCAGAUGUGAAAACUCAGGGCUCAACCCUGAGCCUGCAUUUGAAACUGUGUUUCUUGAGUGUUGGAGAGGCAAGCGGAAUGCCGUGUGUAGCGGUGAAAUGCGUAGAUAUACGGAGGAACACCAGUGGCGAAGGCGGAUUGCUGGACAGUAACUGACGCUGAGGCGCGAAAGCGUGGGUAGCAAACAGGAUUAGAUACCCUUGUAGUC